rnacentral:tRNA from 1 species
CGGAGUGUGGCGCAGCCUGGUAGCGCGUCUCGUUCGGGACGAGAAGGUCGAAGGUUCGAAUCCUUUCACUCCGACCA